UAUGUAUGUGUGCUGGAAAUAUAUUCUUAAAAUAUGUUUCGGAGGCAGUGCAUAAAUUAAAUCUGCCCUCAAAAAAGGAACAUGGAUUUACCUGGCUGAGUAGCUUGAUUAUAGGCAGAGGACACUGAGGUACAUUUACACAUAAGGUAAUCAAAGCCAUCAAGCUAACAAACUGUGGAGGAAACAAUUUAGUGACAACACUGGUGAUCUGAAUUUGCACCCCCAGGAAGUCUUUUUGGCUCUUGAGACAAAGACAAUGGACUUUGCAGGGGAAAAGAGAGCAAAAAGACAUGCUAGUGAUCCAUCACUUAGGAAACCAAGGGAGCAGCACCCUCAGAUUCUGUGAACGUUGGAUCCCAUGGCUUGGAGCAGUAGAGUUGCCGAUAUCUUGAUGUAAGUGAGAAAACUGCUCAGGCACAGAUUGCAACUUGCUAAAACUGUGACACUCUGGCUACCUUAUCCAGACCUGAAGAAUUGCCCUGUGGUGCUCGAAAGCUUCUCUCUUCCACCAACAGAAGGUGGCCCAAUAACAGAUAUUACCUCACCCAUCCUGUCUUUCUCAUAGCUUCAUACCAACAUGGCUACAACAAUGCUGCAAACUCCUAAAUGAGGACAUUUGUCAUGUCCAGAUUCAGCAAAGCACUGAAGCACAUGCUUAAGGCUAACAGAAAUGGAGGUAGGGAAUCGAGGAUGGCUCUCUGACUAGCAGGUGUUCCAGAGCUGCUGGAACAGCAGUGCCUUAUGCAGCCGGAGGUCAUGUAAACCACCAUCAUCCUGAAUCAUCCAGUUGCCCCGGCGAACAUAAUGGUGAAGGAACAAAUGUACCUGGAGCAAUAACUGACCAGUCCAAGCUUGCAAGUUUGUUCUCCGUUAAGCAGAACAAAUGGGAUUG